rnacentral:rRNA from 1 species
GACGAACGCUGGCGGCGUGCUUAACACAUGCAGGUCGAACGGAAAGGCCCUGCUUGCAGGGUACUCGAGUGGCGAACGGGUGAGUAACACGUGGGUGAUCUGCCCUGCACUUCGGGAUAAGCUUGGGAAACUGGGUCUAAUACCGGAUAGGAGCCAUCUUUAGUGUGGUGGUUGGAAAGUUUUUUCGGUGUAGGAUGAGCUCGCGGCCUAUCAGCUUGUUGGUGGGGUAAUGGCCUACCAAGGCGGCGACGGGUAGCCGGCCUGAGAGGGUGUACGGCCACAUUGGGACUGAGAUACGGCCCAGACUCCUACGGGAGGCAGCAGUGGGGAAUAUUGCACAAUGGGCGCAAGCCUGAUGCAGCGACGCCGCGUGGGGGAUGAAGGCCUUCGGGUUGUAAACUCCUUUCGCUAGGGACGAAGCUUUUUGUGACGGUACCUAGAUAAGAAGCACCGGCUAACUACGU